rnacentral:tRNA from 1 species
GCGGGUGUGGUGGAAUUGGCAGACGCGCUGGAUUCAGGUUCCAGUGUCCAAAAGACGUGCAGGUUCAAGUCCUGUCACCCGCA